rnacentral:rRNA from 1 species
UACGAAGGGUGCAAGCGUUACUCGGAAUUACUGGGCGUAAAGCGUGCGUAGGUGGUUCGUUAAGUCUGAUGUGAAAGCCCUGGGCUCAACCUGGGAAUGGCAUUGGAUACUGGCGAUCUAGAGUGCGGUAGAGGGCAGCGGAAUUCCCGGUGUAGCAGUGAAAUGCGUAGAGAUCGGGAGGAACAUCUGUGGCGAAGGCGACUGCCUGGACCAGCACUGACACUGAGGCACGAAAGCGUGGGGAGCAAACAGG